GCGAGGCUUGGGUGCUGCGGCGGUAGGAGGAGGACGGGGAAGGACGGAGCCGAGCCACGGCUGCCUCCCUCGCUCUCUCCCUCGCGCACUCGCCCGCCCCCUCCCUCCCUCCCCUCCCUUCCCCUGCCCCGGCUCCGGCCCCGGCCCAUUCGCUGUGCGGUCUUCGGCAGGGAGGAUGUCGGGCUCGUCGCUGCCCAGCGCCCUGGCCCUCUCGCUGUUGCUGGUCUCUGGCUCCCUCCUCCCAGGGCCAGGCGCCGCUCAGAACGAGCCAAGGAUUGUCACCAGUGAAGAAGUCAUUAUUCGAGGAAGCCCUGCGCCCUCUGUCACCCUGCAGUGUAACCUCACCUCCAACUCUCACACCCUUACAUACAGCUACUGGACAAAGAAUGGGGUAGAACUGACUGCCACUCGUAAAAAUGCCAGCAACAUGGAAUACAGGAUCAAUAAGCCGAGAGCUGAGGAUUCAGGCGAAUACCACUGUGUAUAUCACUUUCUCAAUGCUCCUAAAGCAAAUGCCACCAUUGAAGUAAAAGCUGCUCCUGAUAUCACUGGCCAUAAACGGAGCGAGAACAAGAAUGAAGGGCAGGAUGCCAUGAUGUACUGCAAGUCAGUUGGCUACCCCCACCCGGAGUGGAUCUGGCGCAAGAAGGAGAAUGGUAUGCCUGUGGAGAUUGUCAAUACCUCUGGUCGCUUCAUCAUCAUCAACAGGGAAAAUUACACUGAGCUGAGCAUCACGAACCUGCAGAUCACAGAAGACCCUGGCGAGUAUGAAUGUAAUGCUACCAACUCCAUUGGCACUGCCGCCGUUGUCACCAUCCUCAGGGUACGGAGCCACCUGGCCCCACUCUGGCCUUUCUUGGGAAUUCUGGCAGAAAUCAUCAUCCUUGUGGUGAUCAUUGUUGUGUAUGAAAAGAGGAAGAGGCCAGAUGAAGUUCCUGAUGAUCAUCAGGCAGAUUGAGCUUGAGGAGAAUCCAAGUCAAGCCUAGAAGCCACCCCAAGAUCGCAGGCCACCUGGCCUUUCAGGCAGAUUUAAGAUGAUGAACCAGCUGGGCCAAUGAAAACCAACUCUACCAACAAUCACAAAGAUAAAAACUUGCGCCAGAGAAACACAAAUUAAGUACUACUUAUAAUAUCUUUAGGUUCCUGAAACUGGUGGCAACAUGACCUGCUAACUUUUCUGCUUGGAUCUCUUUGGUUCUUUCCCCUUUCAAGCGAGCAGCACCAUGAUGACUGUCUAAAGCAUGCCUUAUUUAGCCUCUCCUGUAAGGGUGACCCAGCCAGGUACAUUUUAAACAAUGCUUCAGUGUAGAAGGUGUAAACUAUUUUGGGCUUGAUGUGCUGUGAAUGUUGCUUUUUUUCCCCCCCUUUGUUAAAAUUAUUUAAAUAGAAGUGAAAAGGUCCUCUGAGGAUCAGAUCAUGCAUGCGCCAUUUUUUACUUAAUGCAGCUGUUAAAUUGGCAACGCUCUAAAAUGCACUGCUGCCAUCUAGUGAUACAUUUUUGUAAAGUACAGCAAAACCUACAGAUAUAUACAGUAUAUAAAUAUAUAUAUAUAUAUUUAUAUUUUUUGGGGUGGGAGAAAUCCAAAAUAAAAUAAAUGCUUGUUUCAUUUUUAA